rnacentral:autocatalytically_spliced_intron from 1 species
UAUUCCCCGUUCCCGUUGUAGGCAUUGUAAGCCUCUAUCUUACAAUCUCAACCAUGAUAGGGCAGAAAAUCGAGUGGACCGUCGCUAGCACAAGGCCAUGCGAUCCGCUUAAUUAUUAUGAAUCACCAAGGGAAACAGGUUUUACCCCGCGUUGGCUUUAUCUAAUAAGUGCACCCCUUCCGAAGUCAGGGUUUUUUUGCAUGUAUUAGCUCUAGAAUUACCACGGUUAUCCAAGUAGUAAAGAAUAUGUCACGUAGAUCAUAACUGAUUUAAUGAGCCAUUCGCAGUUUCACAAUAUAAAUUUAUUUAUACUUAGACAUGCAUGGCUUAAUCUUUGAGACAAGAUUAUGACUACA